AUUGAACGCUGGCGGCAUGCCUUACACAUGCAAGUCGAACGGCAGCGGGCCUUCGGGUGCCGGCGAGUGGCGAACGGGUGAGUAAUGCAUCGGAACGUGCCAUUGAGUGGGGGAUAACGUAGCGAAAGUUGCGCUAAUACCGCAUAUUCUGUGAGCAGGAAAGCAGGGGACCGCAAGGCCUUGCGCUCUUUGAGCGGCCGAUGUCAGAUUAGCUAGUUGUGAGUAAAGGCUUACCAAGGCGACGAUCUGUAGCGGGUCUGAGAGGAUGAUCCGCCACACUGGAACUGAGACACGGUCCAGACUCCUACGGGAGGCAGCAGU
rnacentral:rRNA from 1 species